rnacentral:lncRNA from 1 species
UUGUCCUCUGAAAUCUACAGAACUGUUAGCAAACCGUUCAGGGAUGAACUCUUCAGGAUCGGUCCAUCGCCUGGGGUCACGUCCUAUGGCCCAUACGUUGAGUUGGAUUUGUGUUUUGGGAGGUAUAUCGUAGCCGUUGAUCUUGACGUGAGACAUUGUUUCUCUGGGGACUAAUAAUGGAGCUGCUGGGUGUAGCCUAAACGUUUCCUUGAUUAUGAGCUUUAGGUAACCAACUUUGUCAACGUCUUCUUCAGUGAUCUUCUCCUUGUUGAGCCCUAGGGUGGUUCGGAUCUCUUCUUGUGCCUUUCUCAUCACUCUAGGGUUUCUAACGAGUUCUGUCAUGGCCCAUAUCAUGGUUAUAGCUCCUGUAUCUAUCCCUGCAAGAAAUAUGUUCUGACAAAACACAAAAAUACAUAAAAACACAUAUAAGCACAAGGUUUGGAAAUCAAGUCAGUGUUUGCAUUUGUAUGUGAAUUUUUGUUUUGGUAACGUGAAGGUCACAUAAAAUCAGAUGCAAACAAAUGAAAUGAAUGAUCAAGACCUAUAUAAUUGUAGUAUAGUGGUCUGGUCCUAGUAGUUGGUUUUAAAAUCCAUCUUACUGCUACCUACAUGGAGACUGUAUCUUUGUAAUUAAUACUCUCUUUGUUUUACAAAAUAUCAUUUUGAUAUUUUUUUUCUUGAUUCACAAAUGGUAUUAUAAUUUCAAUGCAAUUUUCAUUUAUUUUAAUUUUAAUACUAAUCGAAAAAUGCUUCAAUCUUAUAAAUAAUUUAAUUUAUCUCAAAACUACUGGUUAAACAAAUGCAUUUAUUAAAAAUAUAAAUACAAUUCAAUUAUUUCUUAGUUUAUGCGAAUAUGUGAAAAUGAGAUUUUUUUAUGAGUGAGUAUAAUGUAACACUUAGCAAGAUAGAUUUGAGAUUAUUACCAUGAGUACUCCCUUGAUAUUACUAAUGUUGAGCUUGAAAUAAUCUUUCUUCCCUUGUUUCUCCAUCAUAUCCAACAAGAGUGCAACAAUAUCCGCCGUAGAGUCAAUAGCUUUCUUCCCUGCUGCUUCAGGCUUCAAGUGGUCAUCAAUCACAUGCUGGUAAAAGGCAUCAAGCUCUUCAAACACUUUGUUUAUCCUCUUGUGUCCACCAAACAACCAAUCUAACAAUCUCCCAAGUCCACCAGGGAAAACAUCAGAGCAAGUGAAACUACCAAGAGCAACCAAUGCAUCACGUACAAGCUCUUCGAUUCUAUCUUGUUCAAUCACAAACCCACUCUCGUUGAAGUUCUGUCCUAAAGCCACUCUACAAAUGAUGCUUGCGGUUAAAGAGAAAAAGGUUUUGUUUAGAUCAACGGGAGAUUGUUUUAAAGAAGAUUCUGAAACCUUUUUCACCAUGAAUCCAACCUCUUCCUCUCUGAUGUUCUUGAAUGAAUGAACCUUCUUGAGGCUGAAUAGCUCGACGACAGCGAGCUUCCGCAUCUCUCGCCAGUACUCCCCGUACUGCGCGAAGCUGAUGUCUUUGAAACCGUAUGAGAGUUUUCCCGUGGCGACAGUCUUUGGUCUGCUGCAGCAUCCAAGGUCAUUGGUUCUAAGGACUUCUUCGGCUGCUUCACUCGAGGAGAUGACAACGGUUGGAACGAAGCCGAGAUGAAGAAGCACCACGGGUCCGUAUUUGAUGGAGAGGUGGUGAAAGCAACGGUGAGGUAGUCCUGCGAGUUGGUGCAAGUUUCCGAAGAUGGGAAGCGUUGGAGGACUCGGAGGAAGAUAUAGUGUUUUGUUCUCUUUAAUCUUUCUUACGAAAUAGAUUAACGAGACAAACGUGAGAAGCAAGAAAACCCAUGAGAAACAGAGAAAGAUAGACAUUUUUUUCUUUCUUGGAGAGAUGAGCUUAAGCUUGGUUUUUGUAUCAAUUAUUUAUAGGUAAGAAGAUACUAGAAAGUUGAUGACGUUGACGUUCAAAGACAAGUGGUUUUUUUGUGGCUCACAACGUUUUGUAGAUUUAAACAAAUGUAACACCAUCGUUGAGAGUAUUCCACGUGAAAGAGUUUUAGCUGGUUUUGUUUGUCUUGUCGCAAGCUCGAGCAGAGAAAGAGCACAAACCGGAAGAUUGUGGCUAUCAAAACUAGUUUGUUUAUGUUCUUGGGUUAUGUUUGAAUGGGAUCCAUUUUUCUGCUCUUGUUUAUUUUUCUUCUAGGACUUUGUUUCUUGGAGAGAUGGGCUUAAGCUUUGUCUUUGUAUGAAUUAUUGCAUGCAAGAUAAGUGGUAACGUUAACUUUCCAAAUCAAGUUGGUUUUUGUGGUUGAUAGUACUUUUGUGGAUUUAAAUCAAUGCAAAUUCAUCGUAACAUGUAGGACUGUCAAUGUUCAGAGUUCAGACUCUUCCACCGUCCCACGUGCACGUUUUCUUAUUGAUUUGUGUCGGCGCGAGCAUGGAGAUACAGAGGACCAUACCGGAACGUUGUGACUAUCAAUUUUUUUGGUGUACAUUUAAAUUUGGUUUUCUAUUAUAAGAUAAGAUAAUAUCCAUUCUGUUUCAUAAAGAAUGUCACUUUGACAUUUUUCACACUGAUUAAUAAAAUGAUUGAAAUGCAUUAAAUAUUUUAUUAAUUACACAUAUUCAACCAAUAGUACGUGAGAUCAAUGAAAUUAUUUAUAAAAUCAAUGCAUUCGUAAUUAAUUUUAAGCUGAAAGUUGCAUUUGAAUUCUAAAAUGACACUUUUUUUGUAGCAAAAAAAAAUGUUAAAGUAACACUUAAUAUGAAAUAGAAGGAAUACUAUUUAGGAAUUUUAAGUUUUAACUAUUUUACGUGAUUCUAAAUUAUUUGUGUAACUAGAUUUAUAUUUUGACGAUUUUAUGCUACCAUUAAGAUUUACCCUUCGUUUUGGACCUUUUAUACCCAACAGCUGUGGUAACAUCUGUCACUUUAAUAGCAAAAACCAAAAAGAGCUACGUGUUGGUUGUCACCAUGAGACACAAAUAUCGCAUUCGCACGUCAGGCAGAGAUGAAGAUGAUGAAUUGGAGAGGAAAUGAUAUAAUACUUUGUUUCUCUGUGAAUGCUUAACCUUUUCUGUCUGUAACUCAAAGUUUCACAAAUAAGGAUGCGCAGUACAUCAAUAUCUUGGCAAAAAGAAAAGUAUAUUGCUUUGCUUGAGAGCAAGAAACCUUAUAACCUUGUUCACAGGCAUGAAUCAGAAAGUUGUAAUAGCAAAAGAAAUUAAUUCAUGCAACUUAUUUUGACCCUGGAGCUGACGGGUCUGAAGAUGUAAGGCUGGCCGGCAUAAGCGAACUCAGCUGUGGCUCCAGCUGGCAUAACUUCUCCAUUAAUCAGAAGACACGUCCUUCCUUGUGGGCGAAGUAGCCAUGGCUUGACAGGAUUCACAGGAGCAAACCCUCCGCAUGAGAGAGUCACCUGCUUCUGAGGACAGUUACACGUGUUGACAACCGUCACUUUCCACUCCGGUUGUCCGGCAACUUGUCUCCCCGUCCUCACCGCGCCGAUCUGGAGGUCACUGAAAGCGCAGCGGCAUUGUCCUGUGUGGGUUAUGUGUCCUUUUUUAUCAGUUUUGUAACUCUAUGUGUAUAUGAAAAAGAAUGGAGACAUAUGGAUAUACUUGUAACAUAUAUAUAUAGAGAAAGACAUCCUAAAUAUAUGAAACAAUAUCUUAAAUAUUUGAAAUCUCAUUUCAGAUCAUAUAUUUUCAUAUAAUAUAAUCCAAAGAACAGAAGCAUCAAACGAAAAAAAAAAAACGGAUUAAGCAUCCCAUGAUGAUGACUGGAUAUUAAGAUUAGAUAUAUGCACUAAACGCAUGAAAUUUCUGAGAUAUAUGCAAAAAGCCUUUAGAGAUUCGAUUACAUUACCUUGAGUAACCAUAGACAGAAGUAGAAACAUAAGAAAAUACUUAAGAGCAAAUGCCAUUGUUAUUGUGAUUUUUGUUUUUUAAGAGAUGGAGAGUGAGAAAAGAAUCUGUCAAGUUUAUAUAGCCAUUGCGUAUGUUAACGUGAAGUCUCUUGCUUCCGUAAUUAAUAACCAAUAGAGUUACAAUUCUUGAAUUCAUUAGAAUCUAUAAACCUUUUUUUUGGAACGAUAUUAUAUUAUAUAAACACAAUUAAUAAAUAAACGACAAUCUUGUAACUAAAUAUACUCCAUCGAUUCUGUAAUAUAAGAUACUCCGAUCCCUCCGUUUCAAAUUAAUUAUCGUUAUAACUUAUAAUUUUGUUAAAAAAUAAAUGUCGUUUUAUGAUUUCAAUGCAAUUUUCUACUAAUUUCUCUAUUUAUCCCUAAUUAAACUAAGAUAAACAAUAAAUGUUAUGCAAUUAUAAUGGUUAAACAAGGGUAAAUUUGAGCAUUUAACUAGUUUCUUAAUUUGUGUGCAAAACUCUAGAACGACAACUAAUUUGAAACGGAGAGAGUAUUUGAGAGAAAAUUUGAUGUUUCAAAAUAUAAAAUUAAUAUUUUAAAGAUAAUUUUAACUUUAUUGAAAAUUGAUUGACUAAUAAUAUUCCCUCAUUUCUUAAAGAUGAAUGUACUGGUAAGAAAACAUAUUAAUUAUGAAUCGUUUUUUUUUAAAUUAUCAAAUUCCAAUGCUUUUUAACCAAUAGUUUUUCAAUAAAUUCAAUUAAUUUUAUUAAAAUUUGUAAUUUUUGUAUAGAAAACAUAAAAAAAAACUAUUUUUUUGGAACAAUUUCUCUAAAAUUUUUAUCUUAGUGAAACAGAGGGAGUAUGUUACUUCAUAAAUAUUGGUUAACUCGAUUUAAAGUUAUAUUAUUAAAAAAAUAUUUUUACAAAAUAAAUUUCCUAAUCCUUAUACUUUUAAUCAAAACAUUUUUUAUUACGAAAUGAAUAGAGUAUUUAUAGACCCGUUGGCAAUGUAUAUUAUUACUUGUUGACUGCUUGUAAAUGAGAUACUCCGAUCCCUCCGUUUCAAAUUAAUUAUCGUUAUAACUUAUAAUUUUGUUAAAAAAUAAAUGUCGUUUUAUGAUUUCAAUGCAAUUUUCUACUAAUUUCUCUAUUUAUCCCUAAUUAAACUAAGAUAAACAAUAAAUGUUAUGCAAUUAUAAUGGUUAAACAAGGGUAAAUUUGAGCAUUUAACUAGUUUCUUAAUUUGUGUGCAAAACUCUAGAACGACAACUAAUUUGAAACGGAGAGAGUAUUUGAGAGAAAAUUUGAUGUUUCAAAAUAUAAAAUUAAUAUUUUAAAGAUAAUUUUAACUUUAUUGAAAAUUGAUUGACUAAUAAUAUUCCCUCAUUUCUUAAAGAUGAAUGUACUGGUAAGAAAACAUAUUAAUUAUGAAUCGUUUUUUUUUAAAUUAUCAAAUUCCAAUGCUUUUUAACCAAUAGUUUUUCAAUAAAUUCAAUUAAUUUUAUUAAAAUUUGUAAUUUUUGUAUAGAAAACAUAAAAAAAAACUAUUUUUUUGGAACAAUUUCUCUAAAAUUUUUAUCUUAGUGAAACAGAGGGAGUAUGUUACUUCAUAAAUAUUGGUUAACUCGAUUUAAAGUUAUAUUAUUAAAAAAAUAUUUUUACAAAAUAAAUUUCCUAAUCCUUAUACUUUUAAUCAAAACAUUUUUUAUUACGAAAUGAAUAGAGUAUUUAUAGACCCGUUGGCAAUGUAUAUUAUUACUUGUUGACUGCUUGUAAAUGGCUCAUGGCUGGUCAACACAUCUUCAAUUCCAUUUAUGACAUUUAAGGUAGCGGAAGGUGUAUAUCUCUUUGCUCUUUACGUGGUUACUGUCUUUAUUUGUAUUGUCAUUCAUGGAGAAAUUUUUUUUUUUGUCACUAAACAUACUUAAAUUAAAGCCCAAAAAAGGCAAAGUCGGCCCACUAGGUGGGGGAUUACACAGAAACAGCUCUAAGGGUCUGUUUAGCCAAAGAGUCUGCUCUUUCAUUGUUCUUGCGUGGAAUAUGAGAAAAAACGAUAAAAUCAAACUCAGAGGAGAUUUCUUGAAUAUCUCUGACGAUACUCACAAUUUCCUUCAUCUGUUGUUUGUUGUUGAUUGCUGCUAUGAACGUUAAGCUGUCGGAGCAAACCCUGAGCUUUGAGAGCUUCAUUGUUGCCGCCAUACAGAGGCUUGAUCUGACUGCAGUUGUCCAGGAGAAAUUAAACUACGUAUGUUGAUCAUUUCUUAGAUAUUUAGAUGAUCAUGAAAGCGUGGUCGAAUAAUGCAGUUGCAAUGAGUAUUGUUUUUUUAACGGCCUAGAUGAAAGUGUGGCUUAGAGAAAUAAAACGAUAAACACUACAAUUGUUUGGUCACCAAAAUGUGAACAGUAAUAGAUACUACUAAUAAAAUGACAUAAAACUCAAUAAUAAAACGCGUACAUAUUUAUUAGUCUAUAUAUAUAUAUGUGUGUGUGUGUAAUAAUGAUCAUCAGUUUUACAUGCUCAUCAACUAACAAACAUGAACAAAUACCAAAUUAAACUAAGGGCAGAAAAUUUAAGAGCAAGCGAUUCCACCCGACUCCAUUUGGAUAUCGAACUUCUUGGCCCAUACGUAUUUGAAAACGAAGUCAGUAUGGCCAUAUAGAUUGUUGGUUAUCUUACACUCGUUACCGGAUAUCGAUAUCUGCGAAUGGUCGAUGGGCGUGAGCGAUUUUAAACCGACACAUGUCAAUACUAUGUCAGUGCCUGUGCAGGUGCAAGGGUUUGUCACUCUCACUUCCCAUUCUGGUGUAUUCUUGAUCAUUUUUCCGGUUUUGGAUUGCUUCAGAUAUAUAUUCUCAAAGGUUCCGGGUCCAUAACACCCAAAUCCUAAAUAUUUCAAGGGCAAAAUAAUUAUGAAAGAAAAUUAGUUAUAGAAUACACAUUACGUGAUGUUACGUUAAAAACGGUGUAAGCUUUAAACAAAUUGGAUCUGUUAUAUAUAAUAAUGUGCGACGAUUGUAACAUUUUGUUCUAUAUAAAUGUAUUAUAUAACUAUACCUUGGGAGACGAAAGCAAAGAGGAGAAUGAGGCAAAGGAAUUUGCAUGCAUUUGUUUUCAUGGUUUGAUGUUUGGAUAUUUAUCAGAGAAUAUGUAAAACUUAGUAAAUAUGAGAAUGUGGCUGAUAAAUUGUGAUGUUAGUGUUAUUUAUAGGGAGGUAUUGGGUUUAUUUUAUAGAAUAAAAUAUCUUUUAUGAUUAAAAAUUAUAAUUUGCCAUUUAUGUAACAAUAUUUUUUGUUUUGACUUUGAUUUGACUAAUUUAGUAAAAUUAAUUUACAAUAAUUAAUUUUGAUUAUGCUAUAUUUACAUUUAAUGAAAGAUAUGUAUAUAUUUAAAACUAUAAUUUGGCAACAAAUUAUCUAGUGUAAUUAAAUAUUUUUAUAUUUCCAUUAUUACAUUUUUAGUGUUAUAUUUGAUGAUAUUGAUUUAAUUACAAUCUAUUAGUUAUUAGCAUAUUUCAAAAAUCUUAUCAUAAAAUACAAAAUUACAUAAAUAUAUAUCUAUGUCAUAAUUAGUUUUAAAAAAUAUCAUGUUUAAUAGUAAGUCAUGUUUUUAUUGAGAAUGAAUACAAUGGAGAUUCAAUCAAUUCUUUUUUAAAAAAAUACUUGCUAAAUAAUAUCUAGACGUUGGUGGUCAAGUGGUGUGAGGCGGCUCGCAAUGGUCCUAAGGGCCGCGAGUUCGAACCUCCCCUCUCAGAUAUACCCCUACGCCGGGCCACCCGGGCCCACCCUGCUACUCCUAGGGUGGAAAUGACGUGGCUGCUGCGGGCCUCGAGGGAUGUCUGGGCCCCGGCCUGGGACCCUCGGUUAACAAAAAAAAAAUAUAUACAUAUUUAUAUAUAUGUAAUAAUGAUCAUCAGCUUCACUUGCUCAUCAGCUCAAGUAACUAAACAAACAUGAACAAAGACCAAAUUAAACCAAGGGCAGAAAAUUUAAGAGCAAGCUACUUCGCCCGACUUGAUCUUGAUAUCGAACUUCUCGGUCUAUACGUAUUUGAAAACAAAGUCAGUUUCGCCAUAUAGAUUGUUGAUGAGCGAACACUCGUUACCGGAUACCGAUAUUUGCGAACGGUCGAUGGGUGUGAGCGAUUUGAAACCGACACAUGACAACACUAUGUCAGUUCCUGUGCAGGAAUAAGGGUUCGUCAAUAUCACUUCCCACUCUGGUGUGUUCUUGAUCAUUUUUCCGGUUUUUGAUUGUUUCAGUGAUAUAUCACUAAAGGAUCUAGAACACCCAAAUCCUAAAUUUUCCAAGGGCAAAAAAAUUAUGAAAGAAAAUUAGUUAUAGAAUACAUAUUACGUGCUGUUACGUUAAAACUUCAAACGAAUUAGAUCUGGUAUAUAUAAUAAUGUGUGAAGAUUUUAACAUUUUGUUCCAUAUAAAUGUAUAUAUAGAUAACACUAUACCUUGGGCGACGAAGUCAAAGAGGAGAAUGAGGCAAAGGAAUUUGCAUGCGUUUGUUGCCAUGGUUUGAUCUUUGGAUAUUUAUCAGAGUAUAUGAAACUUAGUGAAUGUAAGAAUGUGGCAGCUCAAUUGUGAUGUUAGUGUUAUUUACAGGGAGAUAUUGGGUUUAUUUAAUACAAUAAAAAGUUUUGGUAGAGUUAUAGGUUAUGUUAACCAAAGAAAGAAGUGGGUAACGGUUGUAGCUCCUUAUCCUUAUGUAGCCACUCAAUGCCCCAUCAGUUUGCUUCUCGAUACUCACAUUCACAAGAGCAUCUUCACCAAACACACUUUUUGCAUAUAAAUUUGCUGAUAGGAACCCGCAUUCUCCUUCUAUUGCAGAUCUGCAAACAGAGAGAAGAAUCAAUUAGUAACAAGAGUUUCGGUCUAUAUAAUGGGAAGAAAAUAAGAAUCUGAACUUAGACACUUCAUGCUUGUGGAUUUGAUUAUGUGGUCGAGGAACUCUCUUUCGUUCUGAAUCGUGGUGUUCACAGCAACCUGACAUGAAGACCACCACUGAAAUUUUAAUAACCAAACUCAAAGAAAGGUAAGAGUGUAACAGGUUAUAAGAAGCAAUCUACAUGGGCUGUGCCGGAAAAAGAUUUGAGAGAUAGAGUUUGUCAACAGAUUGUUCAGGCUGUUGUGCCGGUUUACAGGAAGCUAUAUGCAGAACUAUGGGCCGUUGGUUGAGAAAGAUGCGAGUUCGAGCAAGUAUGUGAGAUACACAGUGGUGGCUUUGGAGAAGAUGCUCAGCUCUCUUUACAUACCUAAGCCUAUGAGAUAUGGAAGAAGAAUGUGGCAGCUCAAUUGUGAUGUUAGUGUUAUUUACAGGGAGAUAUUGGGUUUAUUUAAUACAAUAAAAAGUUUUGGUAGAGUUAUAGGUUAUGUUAACCAAAGAAAGAAGUGGGUAACGGUUAUAGCUCCUUACCUUAUGUAGCCACUCAAUGCCCCAUCAGUUUGCUUCUCGAUACUCACAUUCACAAGAGCAUCUUCACCAAACACACUUUUUGCAUAUAAAUUUGCUGAUAGGAACCCGCAUUCUUUUUCUAUUGCAGAUCUGCAAACAGAGAGAAGAAUCAAUUAGUAACAAGAGUUUCGGUCUAUAUAAUGGGAAGAAAAUAAGAAUCUGAACUUAGACACUUCAUGCUUGUGGAUUUGAUUAUGUGGUCGAGGAACUCUCUUUCGUUCUGAAUCGUGGUGUUCACAGCAACCUGACAUGAAGACCACCACUGAAAUUUUAAUAACCAAACUCAAAGAAAGGUAAGAGUGUAACAGGUUAUAAGAAGCAAUCUACAUGGGCUGUGCCGGAAAAAGAUUUGAGAGAUAGAGUUUGUCAACAGAUUGUUCAGGCUGUUGUGCCGGUUUACAGGAAGCUAUAUGCAGAACUAUGGGCCGUUGGUUGAGAAAGAUGCGAGUUCGAGCAAGUAUGUGAGAUACACAGUGGUGGCUUUGGAGAAGAUGCUCAGCUCUCUUUACAUACCUAAGCCUAUGAGAUAUGGAAGUUUUAAAGGAACACCGCCUAGUGAGAAACUCAAGAUUCAAGAAUGAUGUUGACCUGAGACGCACUACUUCCACUGUUGUCUGGUUGAAUGCCAUGUUUUGUUGUGAUCAUAUUGUGUCUGCUCUUCUUCAGUGGAGAAGCAGAUGUACUCUUUUAUACGUAUAUAAAUACUGUCAAUCAGGUAUAGCUUUUUAGUCACUGAUCAAAGUCCCUAAUUUAGUUCAUUUUAUUCUAUUCGAUGUUAUAACCAGAAGAUCAGCAUGUUUGUUUUCUUAGUUGUUGUGCUACGUUUUUGACUGUUAUAAAUUUUCAGAUCAGCAUCACCGAACCAUUUUAGAGCCAAUAAACCAAUUUCUUGAUAAUAUUACAUUCUAGAUAGUGUCUAGGCGGCAAAAUCGUUUUUUUUUUCAAAUCUGAUUUCUACUAUUCAAAUCAGUUUAAACCAUUCUAAAUUGAUUUAAACCGAUUAAAUUAGUAUGAAUUUACUAAAUUAAGUAAUAAUGUUAAUAAUAGUUUACAAAUUUGUCUAAUUUAUUUUGUUUUGUAUAUAUAAUUUGAUAAUUCAUCAAAUGAUUUUAUAAUUAAAAUUUAAAAAGUUUAAAAUAAUAUAAAUAUAAAAUAUAUAUAAAUAAGUAAAGAAUUUGCUCUAAGUACCGAAUAAUCCGCUUCCCUCUAUACCUCUACAAAGGGCCAUUACCAUCUAGUGGUUUCUUGAACAUUGCUCAUACAUUAAUUCUUGAUACAUAUUGGAUCUUAUUAAGUUGUUCAUACACCUAUUUCUCAUACAACGCAAGAAUAUACAGAACGUCUUAGCUUUCUGUGAAAGCUCGAUGCUCAUCAAUGGUGUCGAACAGGCACAAGUAGAAGAGGUUGUUUCUUUACAACGGUAAGAUUACCAGCUUCUUCCAUAUCAAUGUGUUCUUCACUAACCAUCCCUUCAGGCAACUUCCAAUCAAAGAAGUAAAGCAAACUCAACAGUCCUAAUUCCACUAAACGCAUGAAAUUUCUGAGAUAUAUGCAAAAAGCCUUUAGAGAUUCGAUUACAUUACCUUGAGUAACCAUAGACAGAAGUAGAAACAUAAGAAAAUACUUAAGAGCAAAUGCCAUUGUUAUUGUGAUUUUUGUUUUUAAGAGAUGGAGAGUGUCAGAGUGAGAAAAGAAUCUGUCAAGUUUAUAUAGCCAUUGCAUAUGUUAACGUGAAGUCUCUAUCGGUCCAUCGCCUGGGGUCACGUCCUAUGGCCCAUACGUUGAGUUGGAUUUGUGUUUUGGGAGGUAUAUCGUAGCCGUUGAUCUUGACGUGAGACAUAGUUUCUCUGGGGACUAAUAAUGGAGCUGCUGGGUGUAGCCUAAACGUUUCCUUGAUUAUGAGCUUUAGGGUAACCAACUUUGUCAA